rfam:Canis lupus familiaris chromosome 16, whole genome shotgun sequence.
GAGGGGAGGCCGGAUCCUGGGCUGUGUCCCGGCGCCCUGUGCCCGGGUCUGCGCUGUUGGAUUCGCGCUCCCGCCCCGCAGCCCCCU